AAACUUUCAACAAUGGAUCUCUUGGUUCCGGCAUCGAUGAAGAACGCAGCGAAAUGCGAUAAGUAAUGUGAAUUGCAGAAUUCCGUGAAUCAUCGAAUCUUUGAACGCACAUU
rnacentral:rRNA from 3 species